CCUACGGGUGGCAGCAGUGGGGAAUAUUGCACAAUGGGGGAAACCCUGAUGCAGCGACGCCGCGUGAGUGAAGAAGUAUUUCGGGAUGUAAAGCUCUAUCAGCAGGGAAGAAAAUGACGGUAGCUGAUGAAGAAGCCCCGGCUAACUACGUGACAGCCGCCGCGGUAAUACGUAGGAGGCAAGCGGUAUCCGGAGUUACUGGGUGUAAAGGGAGCGUAGGCGGCAGCACAAGUCUGGAGUUAAAUGCCGGGGCCUAACCCCGGUACAGCGUUGGAAACUGGGGAGCUAGAGUGCAGGAGAGGUAAGUGGAAUUCGUGGUGUAGCGGUGAAAUGCGUAGAUAUUAGGAGGAACACCAGUGGCGAAGGCGGCUUACUGGACUGUAACUGACGUUGAGGCUCGAAGGCGUGGGGAGCAAACAGGAUUAGAUACCCCAGUAGUC
rnacentral:rRNA from 1 species